rnacentral:rRNA from 1 species
ACUACGGGAGGCAGCAGUGAGGAAUAUUGGUCAAUGGACGAGAGUCUGAACCAGCCAAGUAGCGUGAAGGAUGACUGCCCUAUGGGUUGUACACUUCUUUUAUAUGGGAAUAAAAUGUUCCACGUGUGGGACUUUGUAUGUACCAUAUGAAUAAGGCUCGGCUAACUCCGUGCCAGCAGCCGCGGUAAUACGGAGGAUCCGAGCGUUAUCCGGAUUUAUUGGGUGUAAAGGGAGCGUAGGUGGAUUGUUAAGUCAGUUGUGAAAGUUUGCGGCGCAACCGUAAAAUUGCAGUUGAAACUGGCAGUCUUGAGUACAGUAGAGGUGGGCGGAAUUCGUGGUGUAGCGGUGAAAUGCUUAGAUAUCACGAAGAACUCCGAUUGCGAAGGCAGCUCACUGGACUGCAACUGACACUGAGGCUCGAAAGUGUGGGUAUCAAACAGGAUUAGAUACCCCAGUAGUC